ACUCCUACGGGAGGCAUCAGUAAGGAAUAUUGGUCAAUGGACGGAAGUCUGAACCAGCCAUCCCGCGUGCAGGAUGAAGGUCCUAUGGAUUGUAAACUGCUUUUGGCAGAGACGAAAUGUUGUCAUUUAUGAUGAUUUGACGGUAUCUGCAGAAUAAGCACCGGCUAACUCCGUGCCAGCAGCCGCGGUAAUAC
rnacentral:rRNA from 1 species